GACGAACGCUGGCGGCGUGCCUAAUACAUGCAAGUAGAACGCACAGUUUAUACCGUAGCUUGCUACACCAUAGACUGUGAGUUGCGAACGGGUGAGUAACGCGUAGGUAACCUGCCUGGUAGCGGGGGAUAACUAUUGGAAACGAUAGCUAAUACCGCAUAAUAUUAAUUAUUGCAUGAUAAUUGAUUGAAAGAUGCAACUGCAUCACUACCAGAUGGACCUGCGUUGUAUUAGCUAGUAGGUGAGGUAACGGCUCACCUAGGCGACGAUACAUAGCCGACCUGAGAGGGUGAUCGGCCACACUGGGACUGAGACACGGCCCAGACUCCUACGGGAGGCAGCAGUAGGGAAUCUUCGGCAAUGGACGAAAGUCUGACCGAGCAACGCCGCGUGAGUGAAGAAGGUUUUCGGAUCGUAUAGCUCUGUUGUAAGAGAAGAACGGGUGUGAGAGUGGAAAGUUCACACUGUGACGGUAUCUUACCAGAAAGGGACGGCUAACUACGUG
rnacentral:rRNA from 1 species